UCCUUCUCCUUCUCAGACAUCAACAAUUUGCGGGCAAAUAGGCCUAUUCCGAUGGAAAUCAACCGACAUCGGCCACAUUGCAAAAGAUAAAUAAAUAAAGUUAAAAGAAAGGAAAAAUCAAAUGAAUGAAAUGCACUAAAGGAGCCUAUGGUGUAUACAGGUCUUGUCAAGAUGUGGAUUACCUAGCAAGGCUACCGGAACCAUGAGUGCCAGCAGGAAAAUCAAUUUGGACGAGAGGAAGAAACUCGAUUGGGCACUGUCGAGAGCGGCUUUGGCAGCAGCUUCCUCAGCUGUGGUGGGAUCCGACAUGAUUGUCUUGCGGCGAGCUGUUUGUCGGACAAGGCCGAAAGAUAUGACCGAAAAAAAAAAACGUUUAAUACAAGAAACAAGAAAAAACAACACAGCACGUCAACUAAAAUUCAUUCUAAUAAAAGAUGUUAAAAACUAGAAAAAUAAAAAAAAGAAAAACUAGA